rnacentral:rRNA from 1 species
AAAGACCUUGUGCUUUUGGAGCGGCCGAUGCCUGAUUAGCUAGUUGGUGAGGUAAAGGCUUACCAAGGCGUCGAUCAGUAGCUGGUCUGAGAGGACGACCAGCCACACUGGGACUGAGACACGGCCAGACUCCUACGGGAGGCAGCAGUGGGGAAUUUUGGACAAUGGGCGCAAGCCUGAUCCAGCAAUGCGGCGUGAGUGAAGAAGGCCUUCGGGUUGUAAAGCUCUUUCAGUCGAGAAGAAAAGAUUGUGGCUAAUAAUCACAAUUCAUGACGGUAUCGACAGAAGAAGCACCGGCUAACUACGUGCCAGCAGCCGCGGUAAUACGUAGGGUGCAAGCGUUAAUCGGAAUUACUGGGCGUAAAGGGUGCGCAGGCGGUUCUGUAAGUCAGAUGUGAAAUCCCCGGGCUUAACCUGGGAAUU